UACGAGGGGGGCGAGCGUUGUUCGGAAUUAUUGGGCGUAAAGGGUGCGUAGGUGGUUUGUUAAGUCUGUUGUGAAAGCCCCGGGCUCAACCUGGGAAUGGCAAUGGAUACUGGCAAGCUAGAGUGCGGUAGAGGGUAGUGGAAUUCCCGGUGUAGCGGUGAAAUGCGUAGAGAUCGGGAGGAACACCAGUGGCGAAGGCGGCUACCUGGACCAGCACUGACACUGAGGCACGAAAGCGUGGGGAGCAAACAGG
rnacentral:rRNA from 1 species